rnacentral:rRNA from 1 species
UCGCAAGACAGAGAGCGAGUGGCGGACGGGUGAGGAACACGUGGGUGACCUACCUUUCAGUGAGGGAUACCGGCGAGAAAUGGCCGACAAGACCGCAUGAGCUUGCUGCUUCGCUGCAGCAAGGAAAGUCUUUCUGUAAAGGGAGACGCUGAGAGAUGGGCCCGCGGCCGAUUAGCUAGCUGGUGGGGUAACGGCUUACCAGGGCGACGAUCGGUAGCUGGUCUGAGAGGACGAUCAGCCACACUGGGAUUGAGAACGGCCCAGACUCCUACGAGGGGCAGCAGUGAGGAAUUUUCGGCAAUGGGGGCAACCCUGACCGAGCAACGCCGCGUGCAGGAAGACGGCCUUCGGG